rnacentral:rRNA from 1 species
GGCAACCCUGACGGAGCAACGCCGCGUGGGGGAGGAAUGUCUGUGGAUUGUAAACCCCUUUUCUCAGGGAAGAAGAUCUGACGGUACCUGAGGAAUCAGCAUCGGCUAACUCCGUGCCAGCAGCCGCGGUAAGACGGAGGAUGCAAGCGUUAUCCGGAAUUAUUGGGCGUAAAGCGUCCGCAGGUGGCGAUUCAAGUCUGCUGUCAAAGCACGGGGCUUAACUCCGUUAAGGCAGUGGAAACUGAAUGGCUAGAGUGCCGUAGGGGUAGAGGGAAUUCCCGGUGUAGCGGUGAAAUGCGUAGAGAUCGGGAAGAACAUCGGUGGCGAAAGCGCUCUACUGGACGGCAACUGACACUCAGGGACGAAAGCUAGGGGAGCG